rnacentral:rRNA from 1 species
CAAGAGGGAAGUUUUGUAAAAGCAACAGGAAGAAUUGCUCAGAUACCCGUAAGCGUAUAUAACUUGGGUCAUCUUAUAAAUGCUCUGGCUAAACCUAUUGAUGGGAGAGGCGAAAUUGUAGCUUCCGAAUAUCGCUUAAUUGAAUCUCCUGCUCCAAGUAGAAUUUCCAGGUGUUCCGUAUAUGAACCUCUUCAAACAGGGCUUAUUUCUAUCGAUUCGAUGAUCCCUAUAGGGCGCGGUCAGCAAGAGUUCAUUAUCAGGGACAGACAGACUGGCAAAACAGAAGUAGCCACAGAUACAAUUCUCAAUCAAAAAGGGCAAGGUGUAAUAUGUGUUUAUGUAGCUAUUGGUCAAAGGGCAUCCUCUGUAGCUCAAGUAGUAACUACUUUCCAUGAGGAGGGGGCCAUGGAAUACACUAUUUUAGUAGCCGAAAUGGCGGAUUCACCUGCUACAUUACAAUACCUCGCUCCUUAUACGGGAGCAGCCCUGGCUUAGUAUUUUAUGUACCGCGAACGACAUACUUUAAUAAUUUAUGACGAUCUCUCCAAACAGGCACAAGCUUAUCACCAAAUGUCCCUUCUAUUAAGAAGACCUCCCGGCCGUGAGGCUUAUCCAGGCGAUGUUUUUUAUUUGCAUUCACGCCUUUUAGAAAGAGCCGCUAAAUUAAAUUCUCUUUUAGGUGAAGGAAGUAUGACCGCUUUACCAAUAGUUGAGACUCAACCUGGAGACGUUUCCGCCUAUAUUCCUACUAAUGUAAUCUCCAUUACAGAUGGACAAAUAUUCUUAUCUGCGAAUCUAUUCAAUGCCGGAAUUCGACCCGCUAUUAAUGUGGGUAUUUCUGUUUCCAGAGUAGGAUCCGCGGUUCAAAUUAAAUCCAUGAAACAAGUAGCAGGCAAAUCCAAAUUGGAACCAGCUCAAUUCAUAGAGUUACAAGCCUUUGCACAAUUCGCCUCUGCUCUCGAUAAAACAAGUCAGAAUCAAUUGGCAAGGGGUAGACGAUUAAGGGAAUUGCUUAAACAAUCCUUGGCAAAUCACCUCCAAGUGGAAGAGCAGAAAGCUACUAUUUAUACGGGAAUAAGAGGAUAUCUUGAUUUGUUAGAAAUUGAACAGGUAAAUAAAUAG